rnacentral:sRNA from 1 species
GUCAGAGGUGCGAGGGGAGGUAGGGCGGGCAGGGCUGGGGUGUGAGACCAGGUGUCACGACUGUUGUGUCUCCCCCACAGUGCCCUAGAGUCCAUCCAGAGUGCCCGUGCUGCCCAGGCCCCGCACUGGAAGAGCCUCCAGCAGCAAGGUCAGUGUGGCCGGGUGCUAGGCUGCAGGAUCCCACCUCGGGCUCCCGUGCAGUGGCUAUGACUCCGAACUGUCCCUAGAUGUGACCGCUGUGCCGAUGAGCCCCAGCAGCCACUCCCCAGAGGGGAGGCCUCCACCUCUGCUGCCUGGGGGUCCAGUGUGUAAGGCAGCUGCAUCUGCACUGAGCUCCCUCCUGGACCAGCCGUGCCUCUGCCCCGCACCCUCUGUCCGCACCGCUGUUGCCCUGACAACGCCGGAUAUCACAUUGGUUCUGCCCCCUGACGUCAUCCAACAGGAAGCGUCAGCCCUGAGGGAGGAGACAGAAGCCUGGGCCAGGUGAACAGUGGUAUAGCAGCCACUCCAGCCUCUGCUGCAGCAGCCACCCUGGAUGUGGCUGUUCGGAGAGGCCUGUCCCACGGAGCCCAGAGGUAAGCCUCACUUGGCCAUCCUGAGCCUCUGACGGCAGGACCUGUGGGCACCCCUAUCCUGGCUGGCCAAGCACAGAGAGUUCUGGGAAUGGACUCUGGACAACAUGAACACCUGUCCUGAGGCCAACUCUUCUUCCAGGCUGCUGUGCGUGGCCCUGGGACAGCUGGACCGGCCUCCAGACCUCGCCCAUGACGGGAGGAGUCUGUGGCUGAACAUCAGGGGCAAGGAGGCGGCUGCCCUAUCCAUGUUCCAUGUCUCCACGCCACUGCCAGUGAUGACCGGUGGUUUCCUGAGCUGCGUCUUGGGCUUGGUGCUGCCCCUGGCCUAUGGCUUCCAGCCUGACCUGGUGCUGGUGGCGCUGGGGCCUGGCCAUGGCCUGCAGGGCCCC